rnacentral:rRNA from 1 species
UCGGGGUUACAGCCUUGCUGAAUUAUUCACCCUUGUCUUUUGCGUACUUCUUGUUUCCUUGGUGGGUUCGCCCACCACUAGGACAAACAUAAACCUUUUGUAAUUGCAAUCAGCGUCAGUAACAAAUUAAUAAUUACAACUUUCAACAACGGAUCUCUUGGUUCUGGCAUCGAUGAAGAACGCAGCGAAAUGCGAUAAGUAGUGUGAAUUGCAGAAUUCAGUGAAUCAUCGAAUCUUUGAACGCACAUUGCGCCCUUUGGUAUUCCAAAGGGCAUGCCUGUUCGAGCGUCAUUUGUACCCUCAAGCUUUGCUUGGUGUUGGGCGUCUUGUCUCUAGCUUUGCUGGAGACUCGCCUUAAAGUAAUUGGCAGCCGGCCUACUGGUUUCGGAGCGCAGCACAAGUCGCACUCUCUAUCAGCAAAGGUCUAGCAUCCAUUAAGCCUUUUUUUCAACUUUUGACCUCGGAUCAGGUAGGGAUACCCGCUGAACUUAAGCAUAUCAAUAA